rnacentral:rRNA from 1 species
GCUGGCGGCAUGCCUAACACAUGCAGUCGAACGGAAACGAUGGGAGCUUGCUCCCGGCGUCGAGUGGCGGACGGGUGAGUAACGCUUAGGAAUCUACCCAGUAGUGGGGGACAACAUUCGGAAACGGAUGCUAAUACCGCAUACGCACUACGGUGGAAAGUGGGGGAUCUUCGGACCUCACGCUAUUGGAUGAGCCUAAGUGGGAUUAU